rnacentral:rRNA from 1 species
UACGAAGGGGGCUAGCGUUGCUCGGAAUUACUGGGCGUAAAGGGAGCGUAGGCGGGUUAUCAAGUUGGAGGUGAAAGCCCAGGGCUCAACCUUGGAAUUGCCUUCAAAACUGAUAGCCUAGAGUAUGAUAGAGGUAAGUGGAACUCCGAGUGUAGAGGUGAAAUUCGUAGAUAUUCGGAAGAACACCAGUGGCGAAGGCGACUUACUGGAUCAUGACUGACGCUGAGGCUCGGAAAGCGUGGGGAGCAAACAGG